rnacentral:rRNA from 1 species
UACGGGGGGGGGCAAGCGGUUGUUCGGAAUUACUGGGCGUAAAGGGCUCGUAGGUGGCCAACUAAGUCAGACGUGAAAUCCCUCGGCUUAACCGGGGAACUGCGUCUGAUACUGGAUGGCUUGAGUUUGGGAGAGGGAUGCGGAAUUCCAGGUGUAGCGGUGAAAUGCGUAGAUAUCUGGAGGAACACCGGUGGCGAAAGCGGCAUCCUGGACCAACACUGACACUGAGGAGCGAAAGCCAGGGGAGCAAACGGG